rnacentral:rRNA from 1 species
GAUGAACGCUAGCGGCAGGCCUAACACAUGCAAGUCGAGGGGUAACUAGAGAGAUAGCAAUAUUACUUUGGCUAGACCGGCGCACGGGUGCGUAACACGUAUGCAACCUACCUUAUACUGGGGAAUAACUUCGAGAAAUCGGCGCUAAUACACAAUAACAUUGCGAAGAGGCAUAUCUUUGCAAUUAAAGCUCCGGCGGUAUAAGAUGGGCAUGCGUCCAAUUAGCUAGUUGGUUAGGUAACGGCUCACCAAGGCUACGAUUGGUAGGGGUUCUGAGAGGAUGAUCCCCCACACUGGUACUGAGACACGGACCAGACUCCUACGGGAGGCAGCAGUGAGGAAUAUUGCGCAAUGGACGAAAGUCUGACGCAGCCAUGCCGCGUGCAGGAUGACGGCCCUAUGGGUUGUAAACUGCUUUUGUACGGGAAUAAACCCUUCUACGUGUAGGAUGCUGAAGGUACCGUAAGAAUAAGCACCGGCUAACUCCGUGCCAGCAGCCGCCGUAACAC